AGGACAGAAUAACGGGCUCCCAGAUUCACAAGCCCCACCAAGAGGAUCACCCCAGGAACGCUUGGAGGCUGAGGAGUUCACUGAGGCUACUGCAUCUUGAGACUCAGGAUGAAGACCCAGCUUGGGGCUGUCAAAGAGGCCUGAAGAGGCAGAACACCCCAGAGGAGCCUGGGGCCACCACCCAGCAUCACUGUGGGAAAACGGCAGCAGGAAAUGUCCUCUCGCCUGCGUGCUCCACCUCGGUCCACGCCUUCCCUCCUUCUGGAAGCCUUGCCUGACCACUGGCCUGCCCCUUCUAUGGGAAUCACUACUGACCUUGCAGCUUAUUAUAGACUUAUAUGUAUGCAGAAAUAUAAUUUUAAUUACUUUUAUAUUGCUCCGAGAGUGAUACCAAAUCAUGAUAGAAAAUUUAAAUAAACAAAAUAGCCAAAUUAAUACCAGUAAUCACCCCAGUCAAAUAUACCCAGCUCACAUUUUGAUGUAAAAUCUUCCAGUACAGUUUCUAUGUACAUAUAUAUAUUUUUAGGAAGGAGAUUAUAUUUUACAUGCUGUUUUCUAGAACGUUCUUUUAAAACUGUAUCAUAAACAUCUUGCCUUAUAAUUCAAUAGUCUUCUACAACAAACUUUGCUAAUGAAUUUUUUUUUUUAUCAUGG
rnacentral:lncRNA from 10 species